UCUUGGUGAAUCGGAACAGUUCUGUGCUUAGCACUGCUUCCAGUCCUUCUUCUGCUAAAGAACAACUCACCUGGAAAGCCUUGAACACUAGUAUCAUAGAAUCAUACAAACAUUAAGGUUGGAAAAGACCACUAAGAUCAUCAACUCCAGCCUCCAACCCAUCAAAAACAUAAAAACUAUAAUGCCAAUGCAACUGCCUGGAUGUAUAAAAGCAGAUGAGCACUCUUGAAUCAGAAAGCUGUGAUUACGCCUGGACUGUCCUUGGUUUAAUUGCUGUAUCCUCAGUGGUGUUAAAUCUGCUUCAGGUGGAGCCAAUUUUUGGCUCAGUGUGCUGAGAUUUCUUCACUUGCUGGUGACUGGUGAGGGCAUGACGGUAUCUGGGAUGCUGCUGACUUACAAGAGAAAGUCAAAGGUUGUCUCUGAUGGAAUUGGUGAUGCUCACCCAGAUAGGGGCCCUGAAAUCACCUUUGGCCUAUUUCUUUAAUAGGCUAAAAAAGGGGGGGAGAUUUCAGUGGGCUACAGUGGGUAAACAAACUGUGGGCAUACAAGAUGAGUAACUUGAAGGUAAACAUACCAAAGUCCUUUCCAAAGCUGCUGGGAUCAAAGUGAAAUAAACGGUAGAUCCUGGUGGACUUCUACAAGGUCACUCAGGACUCAAAAGGGAGUCAUUUAGGUUCAUACAAAGUCCAGCAGAAAAAAAUGUCACUGAUGCAAAUGGGCAUGCUUUUAAGAAAACAGACACAUACACUCACGUGCCCAAAUGUGCCUAAGCAGAAGGGAGAUGGGUGGCUUGUUGACAGCCAAAAUCUGUGGCAUAGGUCUUUCUCACAUCAGAAGACACUGAAAUACUGCGACUCGAUGAAAGUCAGAGGUCCUCUUUUAUAUGAGUAUUGAUCUUCCUAAUAAACAUUAAUAUUAAGCGGUAAGACUACAGUUCAUAUCUCAAGGACUUGAAAAGAUAUCCUUAUUUAUUUAUUUUACACUGAGAGCCUUAUAACGUAAACAUGAGAGCCUGUGCCCCAAAGCUGUGCAAUUCCUGACUGCUCCAAGCCUGUACACCAAGCUACAGGCUUCAUGCCUGGAGUGGAGCGCAGGGCCUGCUCUGUGUGCCAAGCUUUGUCACGUGGGUAAUGAGGAGGGGAAGAAUUAGCCAUGCAGGAGCAUGGAAGUUCAACAGAACCCUAAUAACAGGAAAUCUGGAGCAGUGGAGUGCCCUUAUCAUGCCAGCAGCCUGUGACUUGGCUCCUUCUUUCUGCCCAGGGUGCCCUUCCUGAAGGCUGUGCAAAGGUCAGUUUUUCCAGCCUGCACAGCACAGCCACUGAUUUUCUUCACAAAACUCAGGAGGAGACAGCGUGAACAUCAUCACUGAACCAUGUGGAAACCUUGUGGUUCCAGUGCUUUCCAAGGGUGCUGCAGUGCAGGGAGCCCCACCAGCUCUUUCCUCAGACUGUUGUUGGUCAAACUCACACACCCCACCUCCUGGGAACAUGACAGAGGCUUCCAUCUGUACAGGCUCUUUCAGACUCUUUGGGCUAAAACAGCGGGCUGUCACCCCACAGCAGGGCACCCUGAUGGGGUGAACACAUAUUCUGCCACUUCAUUCUUCAUGGACACUGCCCCACAGUGCUCUUAGGUCACAGUGGUGGAACAGCUCUCACCAGACAGUGUUUGGAACUGUUUAGAAAUGUUAGGAUUUACUAAAAAUGGGGAAAUAAUAACAUUUGCGUUUCUUGGGGCUGGAUUUGUGCACGUGCAUGUGUUACAGUGGUGGUGGUGUUUUGCCUGAAGAAGCUUCUUGCACUGUCACUGUGUGUUAUUAUGAACAGCUGCAUUUGUCACUGAUAAUUUAAUUCCCUUCUUCACCUUCUUCUUUUCUUUUUUAAUACUCAGGAUAUUAUGGUUAGGAUCUUGCAGCCAACCUAUCCAUACAUCUUGGGGGAUACCUCAUGGAUGUGCAGAAUCUGCAUGGAGAUGCCCAGUUCCACUUGGCUCCAGAUUCUCCUGGUACUGCCCAGGUACCACGUGUGCCCUUGUUACCCAGUGGUCCCACUUCACCAUCGGGAUACUGCUCCUGGCUGGCCUCGGAUCUCACCUGAGCUGACUACAGAACAAGGUACGGAUUCAACAGUAAGGAGGAGCAAGGUUUGGCUACAAGGAACAAUCAGAAACAACCUUUUAGCAACUGGUUUUCAAUUUCUGCACUUCCAAAGGCCUGUUUCCAACUUGCCCUUUCAAAAUUCCACUUCAUCCAAAAAAGCAUGCAUUUUCCCCAUUUGGCUUUUCCCCAUUUUCUCUAAAAAUUAUGAGCAUCACAUCCAUUUAGGUGACACUUUCUGCACAAGCAGAAACUACAACUACAUAUACCUAGGCAAGAAUAGUGGUUAUACAGCUCAGCACUGACCAUCACAGUUAACACAGCACAGGGUGAUAUGGAAUGCCCCACUCUUACAUUCUGACCUUCAGGCUGCAGAACAUUUACCUGUGCCAGCCAGCAUUUGCAUACACACUCAGAUGCCUGGUUAGCAGUCUGUCCUGAGCACACUGUCAUUCAUGAGCAUGCAGGAAUGUAAGAUCUAGCUUUCCCAGUCUCGCAGAUAGCUUGUAGCUAAAAUUUGGGUCUGGGAACUAAUGGGACUUUACUUGUUCUGUAACAUUCUCAUUCUGCACAGGCUUCAGCUCACUGCUUGCCUAAAUGCUGAGAAUUUUGGUUAUGUACACAUUUAUUGUCUUCACUUUCUGAGUAACGUUACUCAAGUAUUUACUUUCAGAACCUUCCUUGUGCCCGCUGUAGGCAGCUGUGGUCGGGUCAGGGCAGGGAGCACAUACUUCUAUGGGGUUUGGAUCUGUGCUUCAAAUGGACAGAUGAAAAUGGGCUUGCACAUUUUCCUUUGUUACAAACUGUACUAAAACAUCUUAUCAGCAUUACUUUAAGGCUUUUUAUUUUAAUCUAAAGGAUAUCUAAGCUUGUUGGCCUAGUUGUGCAUCUUUUAGGAAUCAGAUGCCAGGAUCUCCCUUGGCUCUUGCUUAAAGAAGCAGUCCACAGAUGUUCUCCAAGGGAAUUUUGCUUCUGAUUGUUUGCUUUGGCAUGUUUUGCUACAAAAUUCCACAGAUACAGCUUCAACAGACAUGAAUGAAAAUCAUUUUUGUGUGGAAGCUUAGAUACCUCCUUUUCUGCUACAGUAAUCUGCUUUGCCUUCCACGUUUGUCUGCCUUCCUCCUGCCAGGGAUCACUCUACAAAGUCAGGAAUUUCCUCUGUGAAAACUGAUGACUUCACAACAAAUCUCAGGAUUUCUUCUUUAUAAUCUCCACAGUGGCAAAAAUACACGCAGCACCAUUUCCCCAUGGCACAUCAUCUGAAAGCAUACACCUUCUGGUUACUGGCAUUUUACACAAACUUGUGGCACACUUCUUGAAGCCAGGAUUUGCCUCCCAUCUCUGCGUACACAACCUGGCCUGGGUAACCUGCUUGUCUACAAAGCCCACUGCCCGCACUCACCUCAGUGGAGGGCCCUACUGCCCCAUGUCAGUACAUGUCACAGCAGAGCGGGUGCCUUGGUACCUUGCUGCCACCCCCUGCCUGCUCAGAUGCCAAGCGCUUGCUUUGCCCUGCGAUGACCUGGAUAAGGGAGGAGUGGCUAAGGUCAAGAGAAAGUGAGUGGCUCCCUCUUUAAUCAUCAGCACUGGCACAUGCUGGCUGAAGCUGUGGAGCAGUGGCAUGACAAGACCUUGAGGCACUCAAGAGAUGCCUUCUGCCACUGGGCAGCCUGCUCUGCUGUGCUGAAGGACAGCUCUGAUUGUAUGUGAUGGAGGUGCUUGAGCAUGCCUUGGACUGCCAUUGCUUUGCUCACUUGGAUAGUUCAGAAAUUGAAAUAUGUUAUUUCUACCAGCCUAAGACACUAGUUCAUGGUGUGGACUAAUAACCUGCAAGAUGAUGGAUAGGUGGUUGGACUGGAUGAUCUUGUAGGUCUUUUCCAACCUUGGUGAUUCUGUGAUUCUAUGUUUUCUUUUUUCCUAAUUCAAAGAGAUUAGUUAGACUUUUAGGAGCUAAACAUAUGUUGCGUUUCAGUCCAAAUGACUGCAUCAGCCAGACCGAUUGUGGAUGAACUGGGUUCACUUUGACCAACACAGGUCAGAACACCCUCAUGAGAGCAUCACUGGUGGCAUAACUAUGUGUAUGUGUUCUGUGGAGGGGUGCAGGGGGCUGCACAGCUGGGAUGGGGCAAAGACUCCACACAACUUCUCCCCUAGGCACAGUGCUCACUGAGCAUGGUCCUAUCCACACCUAGGGCAACCACUCCCAUUUUCAGUGUCAAAUUGCUAAGAAUGUCACAGACACAGCUCCUCAGCAUCACAUCGAACACUGACUAUGCUGACAUUCUCAUUUGGAUAAGCCGGGUCUGCACAUUUUUGUGUAUUUACAUACACACACACAUGCAUACAUCUGGACACAAUGGCAACAAAAUCUUGAUAAUCAAAUACCAUUAUAUGUAAUUUAUGGGCUUAUAAAUGAAAAUAAUUAAUGAGCAUCAACAUGUAGCAUUCUGUACGUGGCCUCAACCUUGUACGGCUAAUAGGGUGAUAGCUGGUGGACUAGAAAGAGCUCAACCAGGAAGAGAUUCAAACUAUUGAACUCCUGGAAGUGCACCAUCCUGUAAGGUUGGCCUACAACAUAAUCAGAUGGAAAAAAAAAGCUCAAAAAAUUAGGACUGAGUACAUCAAGAAGGGAUCAGACUGUUUCCAAUGACUGUGAGGAGAAACCAAACUGAACCAAUGAAAGAUGCCAGGAAAUUUCAAGUGGAAGCAAAAACUGCACCUAGUAUUUACAACACUCUUUCUGCCGUGUACAAUGACACCUUAAAAAGACAUUUUGUUGAAACAAUUCAGAUCAACCGGGACACCAGCAAAUCCAGCCCUUCCUCCAGGUGCCCUCAGCAUCCCUGUGCCACCUUGGCUUCCUGCGGACAGAAGUCACAUCCAGGGACUUGGCCAGAGCAUCUCUGCAUCAGCCACGACAUCUCUCAGCACUCUGACAGCAGAAAUGUAUGAGAUUUAAUUGACUUCUAAUGAGAGGAGAAGUGUAAAAGUAGCAAAUAGCUGACAUUGAGCACAGCUUAGCCAGAAUAGAGAAUUAAGCACAUUAUUCUCUGCUGCUUUGUGAAUAAACAUAGCCACACUUGUGCAUGUUCCCACACAGCAAUUCAAGCCAAUUCGUCCUCUGUGUGAAGUUUCACAGCAUUGUUUAUUCUAGAAAAGAGAAGGCCUUCAAGAAGAGCUGCUUUGCAGCAUUCCUGUGUGCACAGCACAUAAACCUGGACAUUAAAUAUUGGUUUAAAUUAUUAAGAAUAAAUUUAAAUUUAAAAAUAGACUAACGCAAACAAACAAAGUUCAGUUAACACUGGAACACAGAUAGUUUUAGGAAGCAUAUUGCUAUAGCAAAUGCAAGUCCUCGUCUCCCUGGACACUGACGCCAUGACCUGGUCAUUUCACAUGGCACCAUAGCGCACCACCACCCAGCCAGGCAAUUGCCACCUCUAGCACACAAAGCUCCAUGUUCAUGUUUUUCUUUUUUUCUUCUCCCUUCAAAAUAGACAAAAAGCCAAGAUAGCACAUCAGCUUCUCCCACAAAGCAUUUGAAGUGACAA